CAAUGUCACACGAAAAGAUUCUCUUUCGAGGCCAGGGAAUAAUACAUCUACAUUAAUGCCACUAUUUAACUUUCUUGAAUAAUACCCCUGACAUACAAUCAUCUAUUUUUCAACGAAGAUUAUCAAACAUUCACAGUUCUCUGACAACGCCAUCAUACUAUAUAAUGAGUCAUCGUCUGUAACUUCUCCCACGUCGAAUUGAUUUCUAACAAUUGAGUAUCGAACUUUAAUAAUUAAAUGAUACUCAUCUCUUGAAAUAUCAAUCAAUCUAUAUAUUUUUCUCUCGAAUUCUGAAAAUGUAAUAUCCAUCGGGAUACCACUUAAUUUCUUACGACUGCUAAUAUACUAUGGAUUGCUAUCUUGCGCAACUAGUUG
rnacentral:lncRNA from 1 species